GACGUUUCAUAAAAAAAAAAGUCCUUGAGAAACGACAGAAAUCACUAGCAGCUAUGGCUGAAGCAAAAAAAAAAAAAGCAAAAAAAAAAAUCCUCAGCAAAUUGGUACUCGGAUAGUUGAUGUGGAUGAACUGAUGGAUAAUUUAAUUUGUUGUUUUUGUAAAAAAGAUAUAUUAUUAAAAAAUAUUGUGAAAAAAACAAAGUUCGGAUUAAGUUCAGUUUUUUGUAUUAAAUGUGAAAAUUGCUCUACAUUAACUAACGUGAAGACCAGUAAAAAACACAUCACCCAAAGAUGAUACAAAACACAGUGAUCUCAAUACAAAAAUUGUGUUAGGUGCAGUACACGCUGGAGUUGGAUAUACUUGUCUAAG